CAAGCGUUGUCCGGAAUUAUUGGGCGUAAAGAGCUCGUAGGCGGGUUGGCGCGUCGGAUGUGAAAACCCGGGGCUCAACCCCGGGCCUGCAUUCGAUACGGGCAGACUAGAGUUCGGUAGGGGAGUCUGGAAUUCCUGGUGUAGCGGUGAAAUGCGCAGAUAUCAGGAGGAACACCGGUGGCGAAGGCGGGACUCUGGGCCGAUACUGACGCUGAGGAGCGAAAGCGUGGGGAGCGAACAGG
rnacentral:rRNA from 1 species